CAAAUGACUGAUUAGAUUUGUCAGAUGUCCAUACCUAUCUCGGCAAUGCAGUUCCUCCUCUUUCUGUACGACAAAACACUACCCUGAAAGAACGGUGAACAGAAACCAGACAUCCUGCGCAACUGUAAGACAGAUCAGCUUCAGCCAUGAUUUUCCUCCUGGUACUUUCAGGACUCUGCACCAUUCCCUUUACACUCAGUCG
rnacentral:lncRNA from 1 species